UGCUGGGAAAGAUUGAAGGCGGGAGGAGAAGGGGACAAUAGAGGAUGAGAUGGUUGGAUGGCAUCAGUGACUCAAUGGACCCCAUGACUCAAUGGACAUGAGUUUGAGCAAGCUCUGGGGGUUGGUGAUAGACAGGAAACCUGGCAUGCUGCAGUCCAUGGGGUCACAAAGAGUCGGACAUGACUGAGCGACUGAACUGACUGAACUGAUGGAGUGGAGGUGUCCCCUCUGACCUUUCUACCCCUCUUUUGUUCUUCAACAGAAAGAUUCCACUAAGGCAGCUGGGAAGAUUACACAAAGCAGAGUUGACUUGAGUUUCCAGUCUGGCAUCUGUGCUUCCCAAAGAGUCAUCCUUAUGUCAUCUGGUCCUCUGCCCUUUUGAAACCAGAUCUCAGAUCGAUCCAGUAGGAGAAUGCCUGUGACGUGAGCCAGGUGCUGGUCUCGGUGGGCCAGGGACAUUGCCAGGAAGCUCCCUACUGGAACACUUCCUCACCAGACACCACCCAGGCCUGAGGGGAGGCCACCCUCAGACUUUAAAACAGGAAAGCAAAAAUAAGGGUCAAAAGAAGUCUGAUAUCAUUCAGAUUCUCCCUGUCAUGAGACUGAUGCCAACUCAGUCACCUCAAGCAGGUGAGACACUCUUUAACAGCAUCUCCAGGGGAGGGCAGUGCACCUCAGCCUUUGUAACUUA
rnacentral:lncRNA from 1 species